CCUACGGGAGGCAGCAGUGAGGAAUAUUGGUCAAUGGCCGGAAGGCUGAACCAGCCAUGCCGCGUGAAGGUCAGUGCUCCAUGGGCGUUUAACUUCUUUUGUUCGGGAGCAAUAAUGUUCACGGUUGGCCCGCCUAGAUUACCGUCCGAAUAAGCAUCGGCUAACUCCGUGCCAGCCGCCGCGGUAAUACGGGGGAUGCAAGCGUUAUCCGGAUUUAUUGGGUUUUAAGGGUGCGUGGGCUGUGGGGUAAGUCAGCGGGGAAAAGCCCCCGUGCAACGGGGGGAAGUGCCGUUGAUACUGGCAGGCUGGAAUGGGGAUGACGUAGGAGGAAUGUGUGGUGUAGCGGUGAAAUGCAUAGAUAUCGCGCAGAACUCCGAUUGCGAAGGCAUCACACG
rnacentral:rRNA from 1 species